AUGCUUUCACAACUUGACUUCAAAAUAUUUGGUUUGGAGACCAUCAAAGAUCAAUAUGUGCAUGAUGCUGAUUUUAAAGAUGUAUUGCAGAAUUGUAAAGAAGGAAGAACCUGGAACAAGUUUGUCGUUAAUGAUGGAUUUGUGUUCCGUGCUAACAAGCUAUGCAUUCCAGCUAGCUCCCUUCGUCUUUUGUUGUUGCAGGAGGCGCAUGGAGGAGGAUUAAUGGGACACUUUGGCGUGAAGAAGACGGAGGACGUACUUGCUACACAUUUCUUUUGGCCAAAGAUGAGACGGGAUGUUGAGCGGGCUGUUUUGAAGAAUAAUAAGAAAAUGUGGGAAGACUGCUUGCCUCAUAUUGAGUUUGCUUAUAAUCGUUCAUUGCAUUCUACUACUAAGAUGUGCCCUUUUGAAAUUGUGUAUGGUUUCCUACCUCGUGCACCUAUUGAUUUGUUGCCUCUUCCAUCUUCGGAGAAGGUUAAUUUUGAUGCUAAACAACGUGCUGAAUUGAUCUUAAAAAUGCAUGAGUUAACUAAGGAAAACAUUGAGCGCAUGAAUGCUAAAUAUAAACUUGCUGGAGAUAAGGGUAGAAAACAUGUUGUGUUUGCACCUGGAGAUCUUGUUUGGUUACAUUUGCGUAAGGAUAGAUUUCCUGAUUUGCGCAAAUCAAAGCUAAUGCCACGUGCUGAUGGUCCUUUUAAGGUGUUAGAGAAAAUAAAUGAUAAUGCAUAUAAACUUGAGCUGCCUGCAGAUUUUGGGGUUAGUCCCACUUUUAAUAUUGCAGAUUUGAAGCCUUAUUUGGGUGAGGAAGAUGAGCUUCCGUCGAGGACGACUUCAUUUCAAGAAGGGGAGGAUGAUGAGGACAUCAAUACAAUUAUUACACCCACAGGCCCUGCUGCUAUACAUACUGGACCAAUUACUAGAGCUCGCGCACGCCAAUUAAAUUACCAGGAAACAGACCCUCGUGGUCAGGUUGAUCGUGCUCCGGCGUGGUCGAUAACCUCUCGGAGUUGGUUUAGCGAUUGCUAA
rnacentral:rRNA from 1 species